rnacentral:lncRNA from 1 species
ACUCAGCCCUGGGUGUCUCCAGAGGAGAUGCAAGCCUGAAGUGGGAUUGACUGUAAUUUAAGUAAACUGAUCUGCUACUAAAUCCAUAGCAAUUCAAUUUACACUUCACAGGGUUUAUUGCUGAGGACAGACAUGACUUAAAUAAUAUUGUGAGGAGCCAUAUUUUUUUAAAAAAUGUUCAGGAUGUAGAGAAAAGGUAGAACAAUUGAGCCUGGUCAGGGAUUGUGAGCCCUGCCUUUGAAUCACCUGGGUAGAUCUGCAAGUUACUGAUCUUCUUCCAAUCAGCUCAUUGAACAGUCGAGGGGACAUGGGUCCAAGCUCCAGGUUUUUCCAAAGUUCCUUCCAUGGUUGUGAUGUGCAGGAAGAACUGAAAGGCCCUGGCCCGGAUGGUAUCUGAGGUUUCUGACAGGCAGAAGAUUGAGUAUCAACAAGACUUGGUGACAACGGAGGGGGUGGGUGGCCCUUUCAGGUGCAGCCAGAACAAGACAGACAGUUACCUGUGGAUCAGGCCUGGAUCGUCACUGCUCUGGAAGCUUCCUGGUAGAAGGGACUAUGUUUUGCCAGCUCCUUCUAUGCCAUUUGGUAUACAGUCUGCUUACGGAGGUGACACCUGCUGACCUUGCGUGUUUGAGAGCCUCCCAUUUUGAGGGCUAUAGUGUUCUGCUCACCACCUACAAUUACCAUGACUAAAAAUACUUCGGAGUAAGGAGAGUCUUCAAGGGGACUUGGCGCCUGGACUACACUGUUCCUAUUUCGGUGCUAUGUCUCAAGGCCACAGCCUUGCUACUGCUGAGCCGCGAAUCGCCAGUAAGACAUUGCACUUCAGAAUUCAUAGAAGCUUUGUGGUUAUGUCUCUUUCCCCCAAAAUGGUACCCACUAGAGAUCUUCUAGAUAAUUCCAUCCCGACUUAGCCACCAUGUGCAGAAACAGCAACUUCAUAGACAUCAGGGUGAUCAAACAGGCCAAGAAGACACCAUACCCUCUUCUUCUCCUGCUGUCUUGAGCACCUUGUGUCUGUUCACUCAGCACGAUUCCAUCUUAGCAAUAAAUCCCCCAC